GAUUUUAUACAUUUUGAAGACUUUGCAUAAGUAAAGUUUCUAGAAAUGUUAAAUUAAAAUCAAAGAAGGAAACAAUUCAAGUAAUUGAGUUGUUAUUACUUUGAAUAAAAUAAGGUGUUUAAAGCAAAACAUUAUGUUAAUGAAUAUUCAAGCAUGGGACAAUGCUGAGGGGAUGUCAAUAAGACAUUUCGAGAGAAGGAUUAAAAGGAACAAUUGGGGUGAUUCAGAAAAUAACGGGAGAGGUGAAAAUCCAUGAUCGCUAUAAGAUGCACGAGAGCGAAAGCAUUUCACUCAACUGUGUCCAUUAAUCAAGAACGAAAGUUAGGGGAUCGAAGACGAUCAGAUACCGUCGUAGUCCUAACUAUAAACGAUGUCAACCAAGGAUUGGAUGAAAUUCAGAUGUACAAAGAUGAAGAAGCAUUGUUUCUUAAUCUGAGUAUAUCAAUAUUACCUUGUUCAGAACUUAAAGAGAAAUCUUGAGUUUAUGGACUUCAGGGGGAGUAUGGUCACAAGGCUGAAACUUAAAGGAAUUGACGGAAGGGCACACCAGGAGUGGAGCCUGCGGCUUAAUUUGACUCAACACGGGAAAACUUACCAAGACCGAACAGUAGAAGGAAUGACAGAUUAAGAGUUCUUUCAUGAUUUAUUGGGUAGUGGUGCAUGGCCGUUCUUAGUUGGUGGAGUG
rnacentral:rRNA from 1 species